CUGUUCAAAGAUUAAGCCAUGCAUUUCUAAGUAUAAGCAAUUUAUCCAGUGAAACUGCGAAUGGCUCAUUAAAUCAGUUAUCGUUUAUUUGAUAGUUCCUUUACUACAUGGUAUAACUGUGGUAAUUCUAGAGCUAAUACAUGCUUAAAAUUUCGACCCUUUGGAAGAGAUGUAUUUAUUAGAUAAAAAAUCAAUGUCUUCGGACUCUUUGAUGAUUCAUAAUAACUUUUCGAAUCGCAUGGCCUUGUGCUGGCGAUGGUUCAUUCAAAUUUCUGCCCUAUCAACUUUCGAUGGUAGGAUAGUGGCCUACCAUGGUUUCAACGGGUAACGGGGAAUAAGGGUUCGAUUCCGGAGAGGGAGCCUGAGAAACGGCUACCACAUCCAAGGAAGGCAGCAGGCGCGCAAAUUACCCAAUCCUAAUUCAGGGAGGUAGUGACAAUAAAUAACGAUACAGGGCCCAUUCGGGUCUUGUAAUUGGAAUGAGUACAAUGUAAAUACCUUAACGAGGAACAAUUGGAGGGCAAGUCUGGUGCCAGCAGCCGCGGUAAUUCCAGCUCCAAUAGCGUAUAUUAAAGUUGUUGCAGUUAAAAAGCUCGUAGUUGAACUUUGGGCCCGGUUGGCCGGUCCGAUUUUUUCGUGUACUGGAUUUCCAACGGGGCCUUUCCUUCUGGCUAACCUUGAGUCCUUGUGGCUCUUGGCGAACCAGGACUUUUACUUUGAAAAAAUUAGAGUGUUCAAAGCAGGCGUAUUGCUCGAAUAUAUUAGCAUGGAAUAAUAGAAUAGGACGUUUGGUUCUAUUUUGUUGGUUUCUAGGACCAUCGUAAUGAUUAAUAGGGACGGUCGGGGGCAUCAGUAUUCAAUUGUCAGAGGUGAAAUUCUUGGAUUUAUUGAAGACUAACUACUGCGAAAGCAUUUGCCAAGGACGUUUUCAUUAAUCAAGAACGAAAGUUAGGGGAUCGAAGAUGAUCAGAUACCGUCGUAGUCUUAACCAUAAACUAUGCCGACUAGGGAUCGGGUGGUGUUUUUUUAAUGACCCACUCGGCACCUUACGAGAAAUCAAAGUCUUUGGGUUCCUGGGCGGGAGUACUUGCGCCCCACG
rnacentral:rRNA from 1 species